AAAUAAAACGGGGAUCAUAUGAUACUUUGGCUCGACUUUCUAGAAGCUUGAACAAUUCCUUUGGGGAUGGUUCCGAAAUCGAUCCCGCAACUGACAAUCGGAUCACUUUCAUGUCGGUGUUAAACAUUCUACAUAUAUAUAUAUAUAUAUAUAUAUACACACGGAGGAGGCAUGGACGGAAGUUGGUCGAGGAAAUCGAUUUGUGCCAUUUCAUCGUGUUCAGAGGCUUGGAUCAAAAGUGUAAGAAUAUGCACCUCAAACUCGGGCGGACGCCCUGCUGCAAUCGCGAUUGAUUAUCUGUACGAGUAGAAGUUGCAGGAGGUCAAGACGUCGAUGGAGUUUUGUGAGCGCAUCCCUGUUACUAGUGCUUCUUGUGCUUUGCGUGGUGCAUUGAUUGAUGGGAUGGAGUGGGUUAAGAGAGCAGUGGGGACAAUUCAUACGCCAUCAACUUAUAGAAGCUGUAGUUCAAGAGAUGCGAAAGAAAUUCUUUCGGAAUGUUAGGUUGUGGCAGGAAGAAGUGCAUUAAUUUUUCAGCAAAACAACUGGUAAAAGCAUGUGGUCUCAAUUGUUACAGCUUAAGUGCCUACAGCCUGAAUCUGGCAAUAGAAUACAACUUGAAGUGUUUGUGUGCCACUUUCGCCA